CCCUACGGGAGGCUGCAGUGGGGAAUAUUGGACAAUGGGGGGAACCCUGAUCCAGCCAUGCCGCGUGUGUGAAGAAGGCCCUCGGGUUGUAAAGCACUUUCAGUGAGGAAGAACGCCUGGUGGUUAAUACCCAUCAGGAAAGACAUCACUCACAGAAGAAGCACCGGCUAACUCCGUGCCAGCAGCCGCGGUAAUACGGAGGGUGCGAGCGUUAAUCGGAAUUACUGGGCGUAAAGCGCGCGUAGGUGGCUUGAUAAGCCGGUUGUGAAAGCCCCGGGCUCAACCUGGGAACGGCAUCCGGAACUGUCAAGCUAGAGUGCAGGAGAGGAAGGUAGAAUUCCCGGUGUAGCGGUGAAAUGCGUAGAGAUCGGGAGGAAUACCAGUGGCGAAGGCGGCCUUCUGGACUGACACUGACACUGAGGUGCGAAAGCGUGGGUAGCAAACAGGAUUAGAUACCCUUGUAGUC
rnacentral:rRNA from 1 species